rnacentral:rRNA from 1 species
AACGUAGGUGGCAAGCGUUAUCCGGAUUUACUGGGCGUAAAGCGUGUGCAGACGGGUUGAUAAGUGGUGUAUGAAAUCGCUCGGCUCAACCGGGCAGCGGUAGGCCAGACUGUCAGCCUUGAGCGUGAGAGAGGGACGUGGAAUUCCGGGUGUAGUGGUGAAAUGCGUAGAGAUCCGGAGGAACUCCAGAGGCGAAGGCGGCGUCCUGGCUCACGACUGACGUUCAGACACGACAGCAUGGUGAGCGAACGGG